GUUCAUAUCAACUUGGUGUGAGUGUUCUUCAGGCAAAGGGUAAGCUACAGGGGUCUGCAACUUCUAGGGCAUCAUCUUUUCCUUGGUGUGGCAGAGUAAGCAGUGCUGCUGGAUGGUUGUUCACAGUGAAGCACUGCCCUUGCCUUCCUCAGAGCUCUUCAGUGCCAUACUUGACAACAAAAUGACAGAAGCACCCAACAGAGAGAUCAACAAAUGAAGUGAAUCUUCCUGGAAAUAAGGAGGCCAAGGAAAAAAUGUAGGUGUUCACAUCUCAGUGGGAGAACGUCACCACCUGUCUGUCCUUAUAGAUAAGGGGAGCGCCUAUUUCAUCCAAAUUAUGUGAAGUGAGCAUCCAUAAAGCAGGGUGUACCACUACGAAGGGCAGGUUGCUGUAAUUUGCCUAGUUAUCCUUUAUAGCUGUAAAUUCAAUUUGCAGCAUUGUUAAUUACAACACAAAGUAUUUUAAAAUGCCAUGUUAAAUACUUAAUCUUCUAAUUUAUUCUCCAAUCAGUUUGUGCCUUUUUUUGUGCAUAGGCAUGACUGCCAUCCUAGGAGGGAGGAACUAGGAAAGAUCAUGCCUUUAUCUCUAAUCAAAUGGUUAUGUUUUUCAAAUGAAUCCAUAUUAUCUGGGGUUUUUAUUUGUAAUCAUAGUUGUACUUUGCUUUGAAUGUGUGCUGAUUAGUUACUUGUCAUCUUAGGGGAACAUGAAAUGCUCAUAUUUACCCAGAUACAUUAUGCUAGCCGUUAUUCAGCACUGAUUUGUUUGAUGAAAAAAUAUACAUUAUUUCAGCAGAUUAUCUGCUUAGUCUUAUUCAUCGUGUCAAUUACGUACUCAAAUAGCUAUUCUCAUUUCAUUUUUAGUGGAGAUUAUUAAUAAUUGCUUAUCUAUGCAGUGAUUGUGUAGUUUAUUUUUCCUUGUCCCUAUUCUCUCUGUGUUCCCCUGAAACAUGUCUGCUGUAAAGUGAUUAACAUAUGGCUGCAGUCGUGCCCUGAGGGUAACUUCAGCCUGUAGCCACAGUAGUAUCCACAGGGCAGCUCUCCUCAGCAGUGCCAUGACAAGAAUUCAUUUAGGCUUUGCAGGGAUGGAUGGAUGUCAUGUCUCUAGAGGAGACUGAGAGAAUGCAGUGACAGUCACAGAAGGUCCAUGCUCCCUUCUUUCUCAUAGAAUUGGAAGUAAUGACCUCAAGUUGUACCAGAGGAGGUUCAGAUUGGAUAUUAAGAAACAUUUCUUCUUGGAAAGAGAGGUAAUAAAACAGCACAGGCUGCCCAGCAAGCUGGGGUAGUCACCGACCAUGGAGGCUUUCAAGAACUAUGGAGACAUGGCACAGAGAGAUGUGGUUAGUGGGGAUGGGUUGGGUUUGGACUCGAUGAUCUUAAUCUUCAGCAGGGAAGAGCUGCUAUCAUUCAGCUCUAGUUCUGUCUCCUAUCCCUCUCAUAACUUAGAGGCAAUCACUGGUUCACAUGUCUGUGCAAAUCUGCAUGGAGAUAAGAAAUUGUGAAAUGCUAGAAAGAUCUUUUCAUGAUAUUAGCUUUGGUGUAGAUGACGGGAACCAGACACAGAGGUGUGAUAUUUUGUUCUCAGCCCCAUCACCCACAGACCUUAUCAGGGUGGCAGAGCAUAUGGGUCAUAUAGUCCCAUUAGAAAUUUCUGGAGACUUUGCUUUCCCUCUUGCUUGUAGCCUGUUUCAGUGCUUUCACUAAGAAAACCCUUUUUUAAUACUCAUCCCCUUGUCUCCCUCCUUACAGUAUAAAACCUGCACAAAUUCUCCAAUCCAAUGAUUACUGAGAACAGGUUAUAAACAAUUUUGAAGUAGUCUAUUACUAUAUAUAACUUUUUUUUCCUCUCAGUUUCAUCUACAGCAAAUAAUCUCCCCAAAUUCACCCUCAUUUUUUCUUGCCAAGUCUUCUUAGUUGGCCUGUGCUUCCAUUUGAAGCGUGCCAUUAGAAGCUAACAUGCUGUUCUCU